GGUGGCUUCCCACAUUAUGGUGAAGUAAAUGAAGACUUUUUGAUGUUGAAAGGAUGUGUUGUUGGUCCAAAAAAGCGUGUGUUAACACUAAGGAAGUCACUACUUGUGCAGACAAGUCGUAAAGCAACUGAGGAGAUUAAUCUAAAACUCAUUGACACUUCCUCUAAGUUUGGUCAUGGUCGCUUCCAGACUGAAGAAGAAAAGAAGGCUUUCAUGGGUCUGUUGAAGAAGGACAAGGAACGUGAAGAAGCUGUCGAAGUUUAAGACUGAUGAUAGUUCUCUUCACUUAAAAUAAAUUGUUUGAAAGCUCA